AGAGCUUAGCUGAUUGGUGAACAGUGAUUGGUUUCCGCUUUGUUCACAGUGGCUAAGUUCUG
rnacentral:pre_miRNA from 4 species